rnacentral:rRNA from 1 species
AACGAACGCUGGCGGCAUGCCUAACACAUGCAAGUCGAACGAGACCUUCGGGUCUAGUGGCGCACGGGUGCGUAACGCGUGGAAUCUGCCCUUGGGUUCGGAAUAACAGUUGGAAACGACUGCUAAUACCGGACGAUGACGUAAGUCCAAAGAUUUAUCGCCCAAGGAUGAGCCCGCGUAGGAUUAGCUAGUUGGUGAGGUAAAGGCUCACCAAGGCGACGAUCCUUAGCUGGUCUGAGAGGAUGAUCAGCCACACUGGGACUGAGACACGGCCCAGACUCCUACGGGAGGCAGCAGUGGGGAAUAUUGGACAAUGGGCGAAAGCCUGAUCCAGCAAUGCCGCGUGAGUGAUGAAGGCCUUAGGGUUGUAAAGCUCUUUUACCCGGGAUGAUAAUGACAGUACCGGGAGAAUAAGCUCCGGCUAACUCCGUG